rnacentral:rRNA from 1 species
CAGGCCUAACACAUGCAAGUCGAACGAGAAAGGGGAGCAAUCCCUGAGUACAGUGGCGACCGGGUGAGUAACANGUGACUACCUGCCCUUGAGUGGGGGAUAACCCCGGGANACCGGGGCUAAUACCGCAUAAUAUCGCAAGAUCAAAGGAGCAAUCCGNUUUUGGAGGGGGUCGCGGCUGAUUAGCUAGUUGGUAGGGUAAUGGCCUACCAAGGCAAAGAUNGGUAUCCGGCCUGAGAGGGCGCACGGACACACUGGAACUGAAACACGGUCCAGACUCCUACGGGAGGCAGCAGUGGGGAAUUUUGNGCAAUGGGGGAAACCCUGACGCAGCAACNCCGCNUGGAGNAUGAAGCCCCUUGGGGCGUAAACUCCUUUCNACCGGGAAGAUAAUGACCGGUACCGGUGGAAGAAGCACCGGCUAACCUGCUGUGCCAGCAGCCGCGGUAAUAUC